rnacentral:siRNA from 1 species
ACCGAAUGGAUAACCGAACGCCU